rnacentral:misc_RNA from 1 species
UGGCGGCGAGAGGAGCUUUGCUAAAGUACUUUAGAGUUAAUGUUGAGACCGUACCUCAAAACCCUAGACUCAAUACCGGCCUCUCUGCCCUUUCAUUCAAUGCAAUAUUUCGCCGUUUCUCUGAGGAGGUGAGGGGCUCCUUCCUCGACAAAUCCGAGGUCGCGGAUCGUGUCAUCAGUGUCGUCAAGAACUUCCAGAAGGUCGAUCCUUCCAAGGUCACACCAAAUGCCCA